UCUGCCUGUAGAACACACACAGGGGUCUCCUACUCACCGCUUCGGCGGAAAUUCUUGUAUUAGCCAAAUGCCUCGUCAUCUACUUAGUGACGCGCAUGAAUGGAUUAACGAGAUUCCCACUGUCCCUAUCUACU
rnacentral:ncRNA from 1 species